rnacentral:misc_RNA from 1 species
GAAAGUAAAAGUCGUAACAAGGUUUCCGUAGGUGAACCUGCGGAAGGAUCAUUAUUGUAUAACCGAGGUGCGAGGGCUGUCGCUGACCCGAAAGGUCGUGCACGCCCGAGUGCCCUCACACACAUCCAUCUCACCCCUAUGUGCACCACCGCGUGGGUCCCCCUUUGGCUUGUUCGGAGGGGGGCUUACGUUUUCACACAAACUUUGUAAGCAGUGUAGAAUGUAUUUUUUGUUUUUGCGAUCACGCAAUCAAUACAACUUUCAACAACGGAUCUCUUGGCUCUC